rnacentral:rRNA from 1 species
CGGUGAACACGGAGCUUGCUCUGUGGGAUCAGUGGCGAACGGGUGAGUAACACGUGAGCAACCUGCCCCUGACUCUGGGAUAAGCGCUGGAAACGGCGUCUAAUACUGGAUACGAGUAGCGACCGCAUGGUCAGUUACUGGAAAGAUUUAUUGGUUGGGGAUGGGCUCGCGGCCUAUCAGCUUGUUGGUGAGGUAAUGGCUCACCAAGGCGUCGACGGGUAGCCGGCCUGAGAGGGUGACCGGCCACACUGGGACUGAGACACGGCCCAGACUCCUACGGGAGGCAGCAGUGGGGAAUAUUGCACAAUGGGCGCAAGCCUGAUGCAGCAACGCCGCGUGAGGGAUGACGGCCUUCGGGUUGUAAACCUCUUUUAGCAGGGAAGAAGCGAAAGUGACGGUACCUGCAGAAAAAGCGCCGGCUAACUACGUGCCAGCAGCCGCGGUAAUACGUAGGGCGCAAGCGUUAUCCGGAAUUAUUGGGCGUAAAGAGCUCGUAGGCGGUUUGUCGCGUCUGCUGUGAAAUCCGGAGGCUCAACCUCCGGCCUGCAGUGGGUACGGGCAGACUAGAGUGCGGUAGGGGAGAUUGGAAUUCCUGGUGUAGCGGUGGAAUGCGCAGAUAUCAGGAGGAACACCGAUGGCGAAGGCAGAUCUCUGGGCCGUAACUGACGC